ACCAAAUGCUGCUCAACCUAACUUGCCUGCUGCUGGGGUUUCACACAGAGCAAUUACAGCAGCAGGCAAGUUAGGUUGAGCAGCAGUUGGUCAGAUAA